AUUAUUAAUAUAAAAUAAAAAAUGCCCGAAAACAAAAUUUGAUAGGUCAAAUUUCUUUGUGUCCUUGUUUAACCAACGAAAUAGUUUGCUACGCAUGGUCUUACCCAACAAAGACCUAUCGUUGUCGGAAACUCAACGCGAUGAAACUCUAUUGUAACCUAAACUUGACGGGGUGAUAGACUUCGUCCCUUGAACUUUGGUGCGACGAACGUCUAUGUUGCAAUUCUUCAUUGUGCAAAAACUCUUGGUUGCACUUUGUUGGUUGUGUGUUGAUAUUUUUUGUCUUUGUUGCACAAUUGUUUACUUCUCAACCUUCGUUGCCCAAAUUUUGAUGCGAUGAAACUUUGCUUUAUGUGACAAAAUUGUUUUCCUUGCGAAAACUGUUUUUUUUUUUUUUUUAUAGUAGUAGUGGCUCAUCGGAUUCACAUAAUAAUUUUUAGCAAGGAGAAAAAAAAAAGAAGGAGUUUUUAAAGGCUCCUAGCUUUAAUUACAACUUUUAAACAACUUUUUAAAUAAAAAAAACUCUAUUUCUAUUGGUUCUUAUUUAUUAUGACUCCCUAAAUUAAAUGGUAUGGUUGGAGAAUAAAUGUUUUAGGGAGCUAUUAAAAUAGCUUUCUACCCUUUUGUUUUUUAAACAAACAAUAUUAUCUACACUAAGGAGGAGUGGGGGAUUGAGCUAACUCUCACAAUAUUAUCUACAAUAAUAUAGUUCAAAUUCGUCUUUGGAGUGAAUCGAACCUAAGACCUCUCGCUUACAACUGAAGAGGAAUAUCACUAAACCGUAGUACUAAGUGAUACCCCUUUUU
rnacentral:lncRNA from 1 species